UUAAAGUUAAUGUAGCUUAAAAUUU
rnacentral:tRNA from 2 species